rnacentral:rRNA from 2 species
UUAAAGUAAUUUACGGGUAUAAAGCGGAUGCCUUGACUUGGAAUUCCGAAGAAGGCCGUGUUUAGCUGCGAUAAGCCUCGUGGAGCUGCUAAUAAGCUUUGAAGCGGGGAUAGCCGAAUGGGGAAACCCACACAGAGUCAUGUCUGUGUAUCUGUGCAUAGCACAGAAGGACACUUGGUGAAUUGAAAUAUCUUAGUAGCCAAGGGAAAGAAAUCAUAUGAGAUUCCCUGAGUAGUGACGAGCGAAACGGGAGGAGCCUAAACCAAUCUGGUGUCAAACCGCCUGGUGUUGCCACAUUGGUGUUGUAGGAGCAGUUGUGAAGCGCAGGCGUGCUUCGCAGGUAUGCAUUCAGUUAGCAAAACUCUUCUGGAAAGGAGGGCCAUAGCAGGUAAUAGCCCUGUAUGCGAAAACUGUUUGUACCCCUGUUAUUGUUUCCUGAGUAGGGUCGGACACGUGAAAUCCGGCUUGAAUCUGGGAGGACCACCUUCCAAGGCUAAAUAAGAUUCCAAGAUCGAUAGUGAACAAGUACCGUGAGGGAAAGGUGAAAAGAACCGCGGGUAGCGGAGUGAAAUAGAACCUGAAACUUUAUACCCACAAGAAGUCGGAGCCGGCUUGUCCGGUGACGGCGUACUUUUUGUAGAACGGGCCAACGAGUUAGUUGUUACUGGCAAGGUUAAGUGCGAUCUGCACGGAGCCGAAGCGAAAGCGAGUCUUAAUAGGGCGCAUUAGUCAGUGGCACUAGACCCGAAACCGGGUGAUCUAUCCAUGGCCAGGAUGAACCCGUCGUAACAGACGGGGGAGGUCCGAACGCUUCGGUGCUGCAAAACCGAGUGAUGAGCUGUGGAUAGCGGAGAAAUUCCAAUCGAACCCGGAGAUAGCUGGUUCUCCUCGAAAUGCCUUUAGGGGCAGCCUCGAGUAAAUGUGUUGCGGAGGUAGGGCUCUGAAUGGGCUAGGGGGCUCAACCCGCUUACCAAACCCUCUCAAACUUCGAAUUCCGCAAUUACUUAUCUCGGGAGUGAGACAGCGACGGAUAAGCGCCGUUGUCAAAAGGGAAAAAGCCCAGAUGACCGUCUAAGGUCCCCAAAUCAUAUCUAAGUGGAAAAGGAAGUGUAGACGCGUAUACAGCCAGGAGGUUGGCUUAGAAGCAGCCACCCUUUAAAAAGUGCGUAAUAGCUUACUGGUCUAUGCGUCUAUGCGCCGAAAAUACAGCGGGGCUCAAGAUAUGUACCGAAGACGUCAACUCGUAUACCUAUGGUAUACGUUUGGUAGAGGAGCGUUCGUGUCUGCGUUGAAGGUGAAUCGUAAGGUUUGCUGGAGCGUCACGAAGUGAGAAUGUUGGCAUGAGUAACGUAAAACUGAUGAGAAGUCAGUUCGUCAAAUGCCCAAGGUUUCCCACGCAAUGGACAUCAACGUGGGGUUAGUCGGUCCUAAGGUGCAGCCGAAAGGUCAUAUCCGAUGGACAACGGGUUAAUAUUCCCGUACUACUUAUGAUUCGCCCAAACAAAACACUAUGAAGUGUCCUUCGGCGCAGACUGUCUUCGGACAAGAAGCGAAGUUGAACAUGGAUCUGUGCGGCGUUAGCAAGGGGGGCCCAUAACAGGAUAGCUGGAGCCGGUUAAUGAUUUCCGGUGUAAGUAUUUAGGCAGAUGGAGUAGGAAAAUCCGCUUUGUCGUUUUAACCCGAGGUACGAUGCCGUUGACUACUUGUAGUCUAAAGUCCAGUGAGUUCAGUUAUCAAGAAAAUCCUCUAGCGAGAAUUGUAGGUAUCCGUACCGCAAUCCAACACAGGUGGGCUGGUUGAGUAUACUAAGACGUGCGAGAAAACCCUCUCUAAGGAACUCGGCAAAAAAGCGUGCGUAACUUCGGGAGAAGCACUCCCUUCGUAGCAAUACGUGGGGCGCAGCUAAAGAGCCCAGGCAACUGUUUACCAAAAACACAGGUCUCUGCUAAAUCGUAAGAUGAAGUAUAGGGGCUGACUCCUGCCCAGUGCCAGAAGGUCACGAGGAGGCGUGCAAGCGUCGAAUCUAAGCCCUGGUGAACGGCGGCUGUAACUAUAACGGUCCUAAGGUAGCGAAAUUCCUUGUCAGGUAAGUUCUGACCCGCACGAAUGGAGUAAUGGUUCUGGGCACUGUCUCGGAGAGGGACUCGGUGAAAUUAUACUAUCGGUGAAAAUACCGAUUAGUCGUAGCAAGACGGAAAGACCCCGUGGAGCUUUACUACAGCUUGACAUUGAAUUGAGGUGUAUCCUGUGCAGGAUAGGUGGGAGACGUUGAAGGGCGGACGCUAGUCCGUUUGGAGUCAUCCUUGAGAUACCACCCCUGAUACAUUUCAAUUCUAACCGUGACGUAAAAGCGGGACAAUGUUUGGUGGGUAGUUUGACUGGGGCGGUCGCCUCCUAAAAGGUAACGGAGGCGCGCAUAUGGUAUGCUAGCUUCGGAUGGAAACCGGAGUGGUCGUGUAUUCGCACAAGCAUGCUUAACUGCAAGAGCAACAACUCGAGCAGGUACGAAAGUAGGCGAAAGUGAUCCGGCACAUGAACGUGGGUUCGGUGUCGCUCAACGGAUAAAAGUUACCCCGGGGAUAACAGGCUGAUCAGGCCCAAGCGUCCACAGCGACGGCCUGGUUUGGCACCUCGAUGUCGGCUCGUCGCAUCCUGGGGGUGAAGAAGCUCCCAAGGGUAUGGCUGUUCGCCAUUUAAAGCGGCACGCGAGCUGGGUUCAGAACGUCGUGAGACAGUUCGGUCCCUAUCUGCUAUGACCGAUUAGGAAAUUGAAGGGACUUGCUCCUAGUACGAGAGGACCGGAGUGAACGAAUCUCUGGUGUAUGGGCUGUUCUAUCAAGGGCACGUCCAGUAGCCAUAUUCGGAUGAGAUAACCGCUGAAAGCAUCUAAGCGGGAAACUCACCCUAAGAUUAAUUUCCUCAAUCCGCAAGGAUAUAUAAGCCUCCUGGGAGACUACCAGGUUGAUAGGUUGCAAGUGGACGUACAGCAAUGUAUGGAGCUGAGCAAUACUAAUAGGUCGAAUGACUUUCUUC